GGUUUAAAACCCAGCCACACAAAAUGUUACAGAACCAGGGUGCACAACAGAUUCUACACUAGCUCUGUUGACUUCAACGGUCUAAAGACCUAACAACACGCCACCAUGCUCAAGUUCCUGUGUCUGCUUGUGUGUUUGGUGACUUGUACACUAGCGUUCCCCUCCCUCAUCCAGAAGUUUUUUGACUGCACAAACGACAUCCGGCAAGACUGCGGGGACCUGAACAUGGACGGCGACUGCGACAGUGUCUUCUACCAGAUCGGUUGUGCUAAGACCUGUCAGGCUUGCUUCAGAUAGAGGCUCUGACCCAGACACAGCACAGCAUUCAAAGUCACAUCAAGGGGCCGUCACUCUCAAUAAUUCUGACAAUACUUUGUGUUGAAGACUCGUACAAUUAUGUUUCUUUGUCAAUACGAGUUGAUUAUUAAUGAACAAUACAUUUGUUUCAUUUGAUAUUUUGAGUUUUAGUCUGCGAAAUGAAAGUAUUCACUAAAUUUAUUAAUCACAAACCUUGCAGUGGCGUAGAUAGGAAUUAGCCAUCAUUUUGGGGGCCCCCCCGGGGGCUUGACCUCUUCGGGGACUGUAUUUUGCGUAAUAUUUAAUGUUAAAAAACACACUAAUUUGGGAGCCCCCCCCCCUCCAAGUGAAAGCCCGAGGGGUGGGGGCCAAAUUAUACCUCUCUCUUUCCCCACCCAAGCUACGCCUCUGCAAAUCUGAUAUGUUGGAGUGAAAACUAAAAUGAAGAAACUGCUUUUAAACGACUCGAAACAUUCAUCUUCACCUAUUCCAUAGUCUGUUGAACCGUUGGGGCACCACACAAGAUCGGUUGACCGUCUUUCUCCAUUCCUCUGCGUAUUCUUUAUUUACAAGCCUUACAAGGGAUAGAAGGUGGUGGGGUGAACUAAAAUAGUUGGGCCGCCUUUGAAUGUGUUAGUCCGUUGGUCAACAAACUCCAAGGCCUGGGAACAAACUUUGUAAUGCCGUAUCGUACUGAAGAAACAUUCAUUAAGAUUGUUCAAAUCAAGCCUUAACUCUUUCUCUCCGUAAUUAUUUACCACGUUCUGGUGGAAUCAACGUUGGUAUCGUCAGUUAGGAGAGAAUGAGUUAACAAAAGAUUUUCGAGGCUCAACGGUAAACUUGACUAUUGUGGGAAAACUUCCCCACCCCCCAGGCGAUACCAGAUCUGUUGAUUGGUGAACUAACUUUGCUGAAUAAUUUACAUCUCCAUCAACCUGGAUUUGAACCAAGGGCCUUUAAACAGAAGGCUAGAGCAUUGUACAGGAAUUUCAAGCAUUUUUGACUAUUAUAAAAUUACAAAGAGGAAAAAAACAAUUUUUUAAUUGAAAGCAAACAAACAUUGAUAGAAAAACACACACACACACACUGACACAAUCACACAUACCUUUGCAAACAACAUACACACUCACAUUGAAACAAACACUCACACACAAGGAAUCAAACACUCAUACACAGUACUACAAACACAGCCACAUGUACAGGCGAAAUAUUAUCUAAGAAUAACAGCAUCUGUAAGUUCCCAAAUCCUAAUCUGGAGCAAUGGAUCUCAAAAUAAGAGGUAGAUACAGACACAAACAACACUGUUUAGUCUGUUGGACCGUAGGGGCACCAUGCAAGAUUCGAUGAUCGUCUUUCUCCAUUCCUCUCUGUCGUUAGCCUUAGAACCUCUUUCAAUGGUAGGGCCUACCUGACACUAUUUGAGACAAAAUAAAAAUCCACUACCGCGGACAGACGCAGACGGCGAAAAGAAAAUCUUAAUUCGACCACCAGCGGACAAUUAUUAUGCUUGCCCUGGAUGUGGCAAAAUAUGUAGGUCAAAACUGGGGCUGCGUAGCCACGGAAAAUACUGCAUUCUUCAUAAAUCUUCUGACUCGAAGACAAGCCUUAUUAUUGUAUGACACAGUUUAUCGUUAAAAAAUACCCACUACUGGCCAAUACAAACACACUGUUCAUUGUAACAUGCUGUCCAUUGUAACAUACUGUCUAUUGUAACAUACUGUCAAUUGUUUUAUGCUUUAUUUUUAAAAAUUCGGGGACCAAAACUGAAAGUUUUGAUUUAGUUGAGAUAAACAGUUGGCUGUGAAUAGCAUUAUAAAACAUUUUUUCCAAGUUUAAAGUUGAAAGAUGAUUUAAAAAAAUGUAAUGGUAUUAGGGUCAUAUCUGGUAGUCAUAGGAGACAUAUAUGAAAUUACAUUAGUGUCAGAAUUUUCUUACAUUCUUUUUUAGUUUCCCCCAUUGCAGCAGCACUUAUGAAAAAGAAUCCGUUGCAUCGGGCUCAAAGUUCAGCCGCAAUCAAUGCCAUUGAAACUGAGAGAAACCAGACAGGCAGAAGUUUGAUUAUAAAGUGAAAGUACCGGUACCUGGCACCAUGCUGAGGCUUAUCUGUUUACUUGUGUGUUUGGCAGCCUGCACUUUAGCUUUCCCCACAUUGUUGGGCAAAUUCAUAGACUGUAGUGUAGAUAUCCGCACAGACUGCGACAAGCUCAACAUGGAUGGCGAUUGCUCGGCAGUUUUCUACCAGAUCAGUUGCGCCAAAACAUGCAACGCCUGCUUUAAAUAAAAAGAAACAGGCCGUCACGUGACUACAUCAUCGCAACGCUGGACAGUGGUCAUUUCAGGACAACUCAAGGUCUUGAAUCACUUCAAAUUAAAACCUUUGAUCUCAAAUAAUUUUUUAUAUUUGCAUAUGUGUAGAAAUUUUUUUUUGUUCAGUCAUGAAAGAAAACUUUGAGUCACUGUAUAAUAAAAAAAAAAUUAUCACAGAUGUAAAGUUGGUGAAUAUAUGAACGCAUGAAUGUACAAUAAACAAUUCAAAACAUAAUUAAAACGCAUUCGUCGAACAGUU